rnacentral:rRNA from 1 species
UACAGAGGGUGCGAGCGUUAAUCGGAAUUACUGGGCGUAAAGCGUGCGUAGACGGUUAUUUAAGUCAGGUGUGAAAGCCCCGGGCUCAACCUGGGAAUUGCAUUUGAGACUGAAUAGCUAGGGUGCGGAAGAGGGAAGCGGAAUUUCCGGUGUAGCGGUGAAAUGCGUAGAUAUCGGAAGGAACACCAGUGGCGAAAGCGGCUUCCUGGUCCAGCACCGACGUUCAGGCACGAAAGCGUCGGGGAGCAAACAG